rnacentral:lncRNA from 1 species
GCCGGACAAUUUACAAAGGGUCUGGACCCAAUCAUGAAGAAGUGGUAAGGGAAUCUUGUAUCUCGAAGAAUAAACCAAGAUGAGGCUAAAGGGUAUAUCCAGUAUCCAGUGACAUGAAUGAACUUUUGUGAACAAAGAGGGAAACAUGCCUUUG